rnacentral:rRNA from 1 species
GGCGUCUAAUACUGGAUAUGUGACGUGACCGCAUGGUCUGCGUUUGGAAAGAUUUUUCGGUUGGGGAUGGGCUCGCGGCCUAUCAGCUUGUUGGUGAGGUAAUGGCUCACCAAGGCGUCGACGGGUAGCCGGCCUGAGAGGGUGACCGGCCACACUGGGACUGAGACACGGCCCAGACUCCUACGGGAGGCAGCAGUGGGGAAUAUUGCACAAUGGGCGAAAGCCUGAUGCAGCAACGCCGCGUGAGGGAUGACGGCCUUCGGGUUGUAAACCUCUUUUAGCAGGGAAGAAGCGAAAGUGACGGUACCUGCAGAAAAUUUGCCGGCUAACUACGUGCCAGCAGCCGCGGUAAUACGUAGGGCGCAAGCGUUAUCCGGAAUUAUUGGGCGUAAAGAGCUCGUAGGCGGUUUGUCGCGUCUGCUGUGAAAUCCCGAGGCUCAACCUCGGGCCUGCAGUGGGUACGGGCAGACUAGAGUGCGGUAGGGGAGAUUGGAAUUCCUGGUGUAGCGGUGGAAUGCGCAGAUAUCAGGAGGAACACCGAUGGCGAAGGCAGAUCUCUGGGCCGUAACUGACGCUGAGGAGCGAAAGGGUGGGGAGCGAACAGGCUUAGAUACCCUGGUAGUCCACCCCGUAAACGUUGGGAACUAGUUGUGGGGUCCAUUCCACGGAUUCCGUGACGCAGCUAACGCAUUAAGUUCCCCGCCUGGGGAGUACGGCCGCAAGGCUAAAACUCAAAGGAAUUGACGGGGACCCGCACAAGCGGCGGAGCAUGCGGAUUAAUUCGAUGCAACGCGAAGAACCUUACCAAGGCUUGACAUAUACGAGAACGGGCCAGAAAUGGUCAACUCUUUGGACACUAAAAAACAGGUGGUGCAUGGUUGUCGUCAGCUCGUGUCGUGAGAUGUUGGGUUAAGUCCCGCAACGAGCGCAACCCUCGUUCUAUGUUGCCAGCACGUAAUGGUGGGAACUCAUGGGAUACUGCCGGGGUCAACUCGGAGGAAGGUGGGGAUGACGUCAAAUCAUCAUGCCCCUUAUGUCUUGGGCUUCACGCAUGCUACAAUGGCCGGUACAAAGGGCUGCAAUACCGUGAGGUGGAGCGAAUCCCAAAAAGCCGGUCCCAGUUCGGAUUGAGGUCUGCAACUCGACCUCAUGAAGUCGGAGUCGCUAGUAAUCGCAGAUCAGCA